rnacentral:rRNA from 1 species
AUUGAACGCUGGCGGCAUGCCUAACACAUGCAAGUCGAACGGUAACAGGAGAGAGCUUGCUCUCUUGCUGACGAGUGGCGGACGGGUGAGUAAUGUAUAGGGAUCUGCCUGACAGUGGGGGACAACAGCCGGAAACGGCUGCUAAUACCGCAUACGCUCUACGGAGGAAAGUGGGGGACCUUCGGGCCUCACGCUGACAGAUGAACCUAUAUCAGAUUAGCUAGUUGGUGGGGUAAAGGCCUACCAAGGCGACGAUCUGUAGCUGGUCUGAGAGGAUGAUCAGCCACACUGGGACGUGAGACACGGCCCAGACUCCUACGGGAGGCAGCAGUGGGGAAUAUUGGACAAUGGGGGCAACCCUGAUCCAGCAAUGCCGCGUGUGUGAAGAAGGCCUUCGGGUUGUAAAGCACUUUCAAUAGGGAGGAAAAGCGUGUGCGUUAAUAGCGUACAGCCGUGACGUUACCUAUAGAAGAAGCACCGCUAAC